rnacentral:other from 2 species
AUAGCCCUACAAUGCUAGUGAAUACCGACGUUUUGAGCCAACACUUUUACUACGGGAGUUUGCGUCUUGUCAUGGCUGGGAUGCCCACAUCGAGGGGACCUCAAAAGUGAUAAGUAGAACACCCACCUGCUGAGGCAGGUUCAAAACCCAGGGACACGGCAAAGCGGGGCUUUU